rnacentral:lncRNA from 1 species
GCCCUCGGAUAUCUCCGGGCGGCAGCCCAAACCAGAGACAUCUGCCUGGCUUUCUGUGGUAACAGACCCUGCUGCUGCAGGUCCCUGGACCCAGAUGUGGCUCCUGGUGGGAACACAGACCAGGACCCCACCAUGAUCUCAGGCGGCAUUGCCGGCUACUAACAUUAGGCUGCUCCUUACUACCUUCGAGUCUCCAGUUCUACCUCUCGUCACUGUGCCUGCCCACAUCCUUCUGUGUCUCUUUCUCUCCCUUUUCCCACCACUUACUUGCUCCUCUUACUGGUUGCCAGGGUCUCGUGAGUGAGUGUCUGGGGACAUCUCCAGAGUGGUCUCAGGAAUACUAUGCUUCGAUGUGCUAUCAACACUGCAAAACUAAAAAGUACCAACACAAUGAAAAGAAAAAUGCACAGUGAAACAAGAAAUGGUGGACCUUCUAAUAUCCAGUGUGAUGGUUUGUGUAUGCUUGACACAGGGAGUGACACUAUUAGAAGGUAUGGCCCUGUUGGAGUCGGUGUGUCAUUGUGGGCAAGGGCUUUAAGACCCUCAUCCUAACUUCCUGGAAGCCAGUAUUCUGCUAGCAGCCUUCAGAUGAAGAUGUAGAACUCUCAGCUCCUACACCUUGCCUGCCUGGAUUUUGCCAUGUUCCCACCUUGAUAAUGGACUGAACCUGUAAGCCAGCCCCAAUUAAAUGUUGUCCUUAUAAGAGUUGGCUUGGUCAUGGUGUCUGUUCACAGCAGUUAAUCCUUAAGACACCCAGGCAUAAAUCAUGACUAUAACACGGAGGCAGAAGGCCAACAAAAAAGAAAGUGCAAGCUUUGAACAACACCCUAAGCCCCAUUAGCAUAGACCAUGGAGCAUCAAACAAUCUCUCAAAAUGUAAGAGUAAAGCAGAAAAGGUACUUUCUAAACACAGUAGAAGUUAGAAAUCAGUAAUAAAGCUUUGAAAUUCACAAAUAUGAGCCAGGUGGUGGGAGCGGUGCACGACUUUAAUCCCAGCACUCAGGAGGCAGAAGCAGAUCUCUGUGAGUUCAAGGCCAGCCUAGUAUACAGGUGAGUUUCAGGACAGCCAGGGCUACACAAAGAAACCCUGUCUCAAAACAAAACAAACAAACAAAACAAAAAAGAAAUUUACAAAUGUGUAAAAAUUAAACAAUAUUUUCCUAAAUAACCAAUGAAUCAGAGAAGUGAUCUCAAAAUUAAGAAAAAAAAUGAAGCCAGGCGUGGUGGCGCACGCCUUUAAUCCCAGCACUUGGAAGGCAGAGGCAG